GUCUACUUCUUCCUCGACAAGCACAUCUUCUCUGUCAACCUGCACAACACUAGUGUGGUGCAGUAUGACAAGUUUGAAGAUUUGGGGAUGCCGGACCUCUCCUCCCGCCUGCUCCAUGCUUGGCAGCUUCCACCGGAGCUCACCGAAUAUCAUCCCUUGCCUGGAACCGAUGUGUUGGGUGCCACGGGGGUUUAUUUCCUGAAUCAAUAUGACUCAGUGGAGGAUUUCCAUGAGGAAGUGAUUGCUGCCACAGACAGGUGGUGUCCCGAAUUGCAUGAGAUGGGUAUGUAGG